CCCAGUGACACAAAAGGAUACAGGAAGAAAUAAAGGCAAAUUAUAGACACUGGAAAAAAGAAAUGCACCCACAAAACAAGAAUAGAAUACUCCUGUAAGGAAACACACAAAUGAUAAAGAGCUCAUGGAUAUGAAUGAAACCUGAUUAGCAAAAGGAUACUUCAUCUCGAAUUUGCUGUAGUACUGAGGUUAUUGGAGUUUUAUAAGUACAUCCUGGUG